GCAGAUCCUGAAUGACAAGCAACAGAGACGGACUUAACGCAAAGAAGACGGUGCAUACUUCAUCCAUAGGACCUGUGUAACAGAAUACCUAUCCUACAUGCAAUGAAGUCAAAAACAGGACACCAGAAAUCGACUACUGGAUCUAAGACACAAGUGUCUGAGGAGCACGUCAUCGUCUUUCGAAUUCGUUGGAUGAUAAAUCCGAAAAUAAGCACGUGGGAGGUCGGUUUUUGUCUUUGGUUAUCUAGCUGUAUGAGUGUUAAAUACCUGUCAUAAAGCUAGAAAACCGAAAGUAAAAAUGGGCUCCAAAUCUGUAGCACAUUGGGUUUGAUGCCUACUGGAUACCAACUUUCACCAAUGGCUGCCAAUAAACAACACGGCACGAUCAAGGAGAACUAAAACAAGGUCAGAAUCAUUACAAAAAGAAAAUGAGGAAGAAAAAAAGCGAUCUCAAGCUGCCACCCUCCUCCCGCCCUCCAACCCUUCACCCCUCACCAACAAUCCUCUAAUGCCAUCUGCACCACCAACGGGAGAGCAGUGGCACCAUGCCCAUGCCAAGAGGCGGACAAAGACCCUUCCGGAUCCCUGGAGUACGGGCGCUUUCAGAGAAGCCAUCUUGGGAGUUGUUGCCGCGGCACCUAAAAUGGCUGGAUUGGCACACGAGGUCUGACUGUGGUGUGAUCUGUGAGGCUCAUGAUGUUAACUUUGUGGUCAACCGUCCUGCCAUGGGAUGAAUUUGAACAGAAACACUGCACUACACCAUCAGACCAACAAAAAAGAAAAAGAAGUUUAACGACUAUCACUUUCAUACAGUAUGAUGAGCUACAGAACAAACUACUGAAAACAUCUAAACGAAGUUUAGGAUACAUGCUCUACAAAACCUGGCCUCCUUCCUCAGAAGACCUAUCAGUUUGGAACUAUGUCUGUCUACCAUCUGACUAAAAUGUCUGACUGUCUUUUACUUGGCUGUGCACAUGCUUCGCUGAUCUGGGACUGAUUAUUAAAGAAAACAUUAGGAGAUUUUAUGAUACUAAAUUGUUGUGCCAUGAAAUUAAGUGAAUGUGUUGCAUUUAGAUUUGCUUGUAAAUUGUAUUCUAAAAUGUAAUAGGUUUCCUAAAUAAAGUGAUAUUGUUUG